rnacentral:rRNA from 1 species
GUUGAACGCUGGCGGCAUGCCUUACACAUGCAAGUCGAACGGUAACGCGGGGCAACCUGGCGACGAGUGGCGAACGGGUGAGUAAUGUAUCGGAACGUGCCCAGUUGUGGGGGAUAACUGCUCGAAAGAGCAGCUAAUACCGCAUACGACCUGAGGGUGAAAGCGGGGGAUCGCAAGACCUCGCGCAAUUGGAGCGGCCGAUAUCAGAUUAGGUAGUUGGUGGGGUAAAGGCUCACCAAGCCGACGAUCUGUAGCUGGUCUGAGAGGACGACCAGCCACACUGGGACUGAGACACGGCCCAGACUCCUACGGGAGGCAGCAGUGGGGAAUUUUGGACAAUGGACGCAAGUCUGAUCCAGCCAUGCCGCGUGCGGGAAGAAGGCCUUCGGGUUGUAGACCGCUUUUGUCAGGGAAGAAACGCUCUGGGUUAAUACCUCGGGGUAAUGACGGUACCUGAAGAAUAAGCACCGGCUAACUACGUGCCAGCCGCCGCAGUAAAAC